GAUGAACGCUGGCGGCGUGCCUAAUACAUGCAAGUCGAGCGAGCAGACGAGGAGCUUGCUCCUCUGACGUUAGCGGCGGACGGGUGAGUAACACGUGGAUAACCUACCUAUAAGACUGGGAUAACUUCGGGAAACCGGAGCUAAUACCGGAUAAUAUAUUGAACCGCAUGGUUCAAUAGUGAAAGACGGUUUUGCUGUCACUUAUAGAUGGAUCCGCGCCGCAUUAGCUAGUUGGUAAGGUAACGGCUUACCAAGGCAACGAUGCGUAGCCGACCUGAGAGGGUGAUCGGCCACACUGGAACUGAGACACGGUCCAGACUCCUACGGGAGGCAGCAGUAGGGAAUCUUCCGCAACGGGCGAAAGCCUGGCGGAGCAACGCCGCGUGAGUGAUGAAGGUCUUCGGAUCGUAAAACUCUGUUAUUAGGGAAGAACAAAUGUGUAAGUAACUAUGCACGUCUUGACGGUACCUAAUCAGAAAGCCACGGCUAACUACGUG
rnacentral:rRNA from 1 species